rnacentral:rRNA from 1 species
UCCAGACUCCUACGGGAGGCAGCAGUGAGGAAUAUUGGUCAAUGGGCGCGAGCCUGAACCAGCCAAGUCGCGUGAGGGAGGACAGCCCUACGGGUUGUAAACCUCUUUUGCCGGGGAGCAACGGGCGUCACGUGUGGCGCCACUGAGAGUACCCGGAGAAAAAGCAUCGGCUAACUCCGUGCCAGCAGCCGCGGUAAUACGGAGGAUGCGAGCGUUAUCCGGAUUUAUUGGGUUUAAAGGGUGCGUAGGCGGCGCGUAAAGGCAGGGGUAAAUGGGGGGGCCCCACCCCCUCCCCGCCAUUGAAACUGGCGCCCUUGAGUGGAAGAGAAGUAUGCGGAAUGCGUGGUGUAGCGGUGAAAUGCAUAGAUAUCACGCAGAACCCCGAUUGCGAAGGCAGCAUGCCGGCUUCCGACCGACGCUGAAGCACGAAAGCGUGGGGAUCGAACAGGAUUAGAUACCCUUGUAU